CAGAACUGCAAGGUUCAGGACAGCCUGAGCUACAUAGCAAGGCCUUGUCUCAAAAAUAGGGUCUCACUGUGUAAUCCUUGCUGUCCUGGGACUCACUAUGUAGACUGGACUGGCCUCAACCUCAGAAAUCCCAGCUAUCUCUGCCUCUGAUUGCCGGAGUUAAAGUCAAGCUAGAGGAAAACUGGAAAAUGACUCUCACGUAAGGAUUAUGGCUCAAACUUGAGCAGAAGCCCUUGGCAAUCAUUGGUCUGCUGCUCUUUGGCAACUUGAGUUCGGAAGGAGACGAUGGAGCUCCUGCAGACAGAGAAGAAAGCCCUGAGGCUUCUUCACCUAAACAGAUCUUCCCUGGAAAGAGACAGAUGCUAGAGAUGCUGAGGAGAGAGCCCCACUCACCAGGACUCGGUGAGGUGCUGCUCUGCAUGUUGUGAGAGACACUGGAAAUCCGAAUGACCUUGUGUGACACUCAUUUGCACAAAAGCAAA